AUUAGACAUUCAGCAAAGUAAAAAAUUGAUGGCCUUAUCAAUGAAACUACUAAGAAGAGUGCAUUAGCAGAUAUCAUCAUCAUUAACAAAACAGAUUCAUUUGCAGAAAAGGAUUUAAACAAAUUAAGAACAACUAUUAGAUUAAACAUAGCACAGACUUUAGAAACACAAAAACUAAGAGUUGGUGUCUCUAAUAUAUUGGAUAGUUAUGCACUGGGCAGUCUCUCAAAAAUAUAUUUACAAAAUUUGUAAGAUGUCCUUACAAUAUAACUCAGAUUGAUGAAAUUACAGUUAUAUUCACAUCUGAAGUGCAAGGAAAUGUAAUGGGAGAAAGAUUAAACGUAUUUAUUCAAAAUUAGUUUUGGUUAAAUAAUGAAGUAUUAGGAAGAUGGUUCAACUAAAAGGGCAAUAAUUUAUUAAAGACAAUCAGAUGAUUAUUGAUCCAAGCUGUCCAUGAGAUAUAAGAUUGAAAGGAGAUUGUAGUGAUCUAGAAAGAUAACACAGAGAAAAAAAUAAUUGGUUCUGAUUGAUGAGAUCAUAAAUAAGGAUAUUUUUACACAAC
rnacentral:lncRNA from 1 species